UGAGGAAUAUUGGUCAAUGGACGCAAGUCUGAACCAGCCAUGCCGCGUGCAGGAAGACGGCUCUAUGAGUUGUAAACUGCUUUUGUACGAGGGUAAACUCGGAUACGUGUAUCCGUUUGAAAGUAUCGUACGAAUAAGGAUCGGCUAACUCCGUGCCAGCAGCCGCGGUAAUACGGAGGAUUCAAGCGUUAUCCGGAUUUAUUGGGUUUAAAGGGUGCGUAGGCGGUCGGAUAAGUUAGAGGUGAAAUCCCGAGGCUCAACUUCGGAAUUGCCUCUGAUACUGUUCGGCUAGAGAGUAGUUGC
rnacentral:rRNA from 1 species